CAAUUCAUCUAUAUUUCUAUUGAUAUUGUAGUCAUUGUAUUUGAUUGAUCAGCUAAUCACCCCCAAAGAUUGUCUUUCAGCUGAAUUUGUUUUUUUAAUUCUGUUCCAUAUCUUUAUCUCUAUAAAAGGCUAUCUGGAUUUUCUUUUCUUUUUUUAACUUUUUUUUCUUCUAAUCAAUGUCUUUUGAUUUUAGGUGUAAAGAACUAUGCAUAUGGUUUUUAUCUUUAAGAGAAUCGUUUUUUCAGUGAUGGGUUUGUUUGCUUAUUUGCUUUAGUCUUUUGUAGCUCUGGAAUUGCUUGAAAACUGUAGUUUAGUAUUGAAUAGUUCAGCAGUGAGCACUCAUAUAAGUUUCUUAAUUCCGUGUCUUCCAGGAUAGCACCUUACCAGCAAAAA